rnacentral:rRNA from 1 species
GACGAACGCUGGCGGCGUGCCUAAUACAUGCAAGUCGAACGCUUCUUUCCUCCCGAGUGCUUGCACUCAAUUGGAAAGAGGAGUGGCGGACGGGUGAGUAACACGUGGGUAACCUACCCAUCAGAGAGGGAUAACACUUGGAAACAGGUGCUAAUACCGCAUAACAGUUUAUGCCGCAUGGCAUAAGAGUGAAAGGCGCUUUCGGGUGUCGCUGAUGGAUGGACCCGCGGUGCAUUAGCUAGUUGGUGAGGUAACGGCUCACCAAGGCCACGAUGCAUAGCCGACCUGAGAGGGUGAUCGGCCACACUGGGACUGAGACACGGCCCAGACUCCUACGGGAGGCAGCAGUAGGGAAUCUUCGGCAAUGGACGAAAGUCUGACCGAGCAACGCCGCGUGAGUGAAGAAGGUUUUCGGAUCGUAAAACUCUGUUGUUAGAGAAGAACAAGGACGUUAGUAACUGAACGUCCCCUGACGGUAUCUAACCAGAAAGCCACGGCUAACUACGUG